rnacentral:hammerhead_ribozyme from 1 species
GCACUGCUGAGGAGUCCCAUAAUAAGACGAAACAGACGUCCGGUGC